GGUGGCACACACGGGAGCCCGGCGAACCGGGCUGAGAGGCGGGCUGGCACGGCCCGCGACCGUCCGAACCUGAUCCGGGUCAUACCGGCGAAGGGAGCAGAGCAGCUUUGUCA
rnacentral:ncRNA from 1 species